GACGAACGCUGGCGGCGUGCUUAACACAUGCAAGUCGAACGCUGAAGCCCAGCUUUUGUUGGGUGGAUGAGUGGCGAACGGGUGAGUAACACGUGAGUAACCUGCCUCCUUCUUUGGGAUAACGCCCGGAAACGGGUGCUAAUACUGGAUAUUCACUGGUCUUCGCAUGGGGGGUGGUGGAAAGGGCGUUUCUGGUGGGGGAUGGGCUCGCGGCCUAUCAGCUUGGUGGUGGGGUGAUGGCCUACCAAGGCGUUGACGGGGAGCCGGCCGGGGAGGCGGACCGGGCAGAUUGGCGGUGAGAUUCGGCCCAGGCUCCUGCCCGGGGUCGUAGGGGGGACUGUUGCGCAGUGUGCGCAAGCAUGGUGCGGCGCCGCCGCGUGAGGGAUGGCGUCCUUCGGGUUGUGAUCCUCGUUGGCUCAUGCUCAAGCCGCAACAAUGGUUGUGGUGAGGGUAGUGGGUAAAGAAGCGCCGGCUAACUACGUG
rnacentral:rRNA from 1 species